GUGGGGAAUAUUGGACAAUGGGCGAAAGCCUGAUCCAGCAAUGCCGCGUGAGUGAUGAAGGCCUUAGGGUUGUAAAGCUCUUUUACCAGGGAUGAUAAUGACAGUACCUGGAGAAUAAGCUCCGGCUAACUCCUUGCCAGCAGCCGCGGUAAUACGGAGGGAGCUAGCGUUGUUCGGAAUUACUGGGCGUAAAGCGCGCGUAGGCGGUUUAUCAAGUCAGGGGUGAAAUCCCGGGGCUCAACCCCGGAACUGCCCUUGAAACUGGUUCACUAGAAUACUGGAGAGGCGAGUGGAAUUCCGAGUGUAGAGGUGAAAUUCGUAGAUAUUCGGAAGAACACCAGUGGCGAAGGCGACUCGCUGGACAGGUAUUGACGCUGAGGUGCGAAAGCGUGGGGAGCAAACAGGAUUAGAUACCCGAGUAGUCA
rnacentral:rRNA from 1 species